rnacentral:pre_miRNA from 13 species
AGCUUGACAGCAGGCAACGGAAUCCCAAAAGCAGCUGUUGUCUCCAGAGCAUUCCAGCUGCAGUUGGAUUUCGUUCCCUGCUAUCCUGCAA